ACCGGGUGUGGUGGCUCACACCUGUAAUCCCAGCCACUCUGGAGGCUGAGGCGGGAGGAUUGUAAAUUCAAAAUCAGCCUCAGCGACUUAGGCACUAAGCAACUCAGCGAGACUCUGUCUUUC
rnacentral:sRNA from 1 species